UGUGAGAGAGUCCAGGUUGUUCUAAGUGA
rnacentral:piRNA from 1 species